rnacentral:RNase_P_RNA from 1 species
AGAGUCGAUCGGACAGUCGCUGUCCUUUCCUGUUUACAGGAUAGGAGGGAGGAAAGUCCGGGCUCCAUAGGGCGAAGUGCCAGGUAACGCCUGGGAGGCGUGAGCCUACGGAAAGUGCCACAGAAAAUAACCGCCUAAGCGCUUCGGCGCCGGUAAGGGUGAAAAGGUGCGGUAAGAGCGCACCGCACGGCUGGCAACAGUCCGUGGCUAGGUAAACCCCACUUGGAGCAAGACCAAAUAGGGAUCCAUUGGCGUGGCCCGCGCUGGAUCCGGGUAGGUUGCUAGAGGCGGUCAGUGAUGGCCGUCGUAGAGGAAUGACUGUCCUCGACAGAACCCGGCUUACAGAUCGACUCUCCGA